rnacentral:rRNA from 1 species
GACGGGGGAUGCACGCGAUAUCCGGAAUCACUGGGCGUAAAGCGUCUGUGGCUGGUGAUGCAAGUCACUGGUGCAAAACUCUGGCUCAACCGGAGGAAAGCCAGUGAAACUGCAUGACUAGAGUGUGGGAGAGGUAGAAGGAAUUCCCUGAGUAGCGGUGAAAUGCGUAGAUACAGGGAAGAACACCGGAGGCGAAAGCGUUCUACUGGAACACAACUGACACUGAGAGACGAAAGCUAGGGGAGCGAAUGGG